UGGUUUGUGAUGCUAAGACAGUUGCCUACAGCUGAUGAGCUCCAGGAAGAGUAAAACCAGUUCUCUUCUGUUAGCAGCNGUGAAAAAAAAGGACUGGUCCUGUAGUACUGUCCAGCAUCGAAAU
rnacentral:hammerhead_ribozyme from 2 species